rnacentral:rRNA from 2 species
UACGUAGGGGACAAGCGUUGUCCGGAUUUACUGGGCGUAAAGGGCACGCAGGCGGUUUUUUAAGUCAGAUGUGAAAGGUACCGGCUCAACCGGUGACAUGCAUUUGAAACUGAAAGACUUGAGUAUUGGAGAGGCAAGUGGAAUUCCUAGUGUAGCGGUGAAAUGCGUAGAUAUUAGGAGGAACACCGGUGGCGAAGGCGGCUUGCUGGACAAAUACUGACGCUGAGGUGCGAAAGCGUGGGGAGCAAAC